AUGCCUCGCACGGCUACUCAUCUCACCUCGCUCUUGGUGACCUUAGGUUUCCUUGCAGAAAUCCUUCUACUUCCACAUUGCUCUCAUGCCAUUUCAGUCAACAGAAGUGCCUUGCAGCAGGUCCCUGCACGAUGCCGCGAGGAUCAGGCUGCCGCGCUCCUCGGGGUGAAGCGUUCCUUCAACUUCAGCAGUCCCUACCUAUCGGCCACCACGACACUGUCAUCAUGGAGAGAGGGCACAGACUGCUGCAGCUGGGAGGGCGUUGGCUGUGACAAUGUUACCGGGAGGGUCACUGCACUCGACCUCCCGGAGCGGAACCUGUAUGUCGGCGACUUCCACGCUUCCCUCUCCAGGCUUACCUCUCUCCGGUACCUCAACCUUGCCUCCAACUGGUUUACCAGCUCCCAGCUUCUGAUGUAUGGUUUCGAGAGCUUGACACAGCUGACCUACCUCAACCUGUCACAUUGCAAAUUUGUUUCUCAGGUCCCAGUGAAUAUCUCACGGCUAACCAACCUGGUCACCCUUGACCUUGGCAACACUGGCAUGAAGUUUGAUCUCCAUCCAUCGACCAUAAUGGCCAACCUUAGCAAGCUGAAGGAGCUCCAUCUCGAUGGUGGUGGCAUAACCAGCACAACACCAGAGUUCUUCAAGGCACUUGCCAGCCACUUCCCUCUUCUUGAGAUCCUUAGAUUAGGCUGGUGUGGCCUCUCUGGUCCAAUCCACCCAUCCUUAUCAAGCCUCCACUCUCUAACGGUGAUUUAUCUUGGUGCAAAUUCUUUAACCGGUCCUCUGCCUGAUUUGUUCACUCCUUCCAAUUUCCCUUUUCUACGAGAACUUGUGCUCGGUGGUAACAACUUCGAGCCUGGAACAUUCCCUCUUGGGAUCACUGGGCUUAAGAAUCUCAUGGUCCUCGACCUUUCAGAGAUGAACCUCAUGGGGCCCCUCCCCGACUCCUUUGGGAACCUCAUGUCACUCACUGAAUUACACAUCAGUGUGAACAGCUUCUCCGGCAGGCUACCUUGGGCCCUCAGCAAUCUGACAAACUUGAUCAUAUUGGACUGUCAGCAUUCUGGUUUGUCUGGGCAGAUUCCAUGGCUUACAAGCUUGACACGACUUGAAAGCGUAUCGCUCGCCAACAACAACUUCACAGGGCCGGUUCCUCUUGAUGGACAUAUGUACCCACAUCUCACAGAGGUGGAUUUAAGCAAUAAUUCACUGUCGGGGACAGUUCCAGCAUCCUUGUUCACUCAGCCAGCAUUGCAGACACUGCAACUCGAGGCAAAUCAACUGUCUGGUGCUAUUGACGAAUUCCAAAAUCCAUCAGCUACACUGACCUUGGUUGACUUGAGCUACAAUCAGUUGACAGGUGCAGUUCCAACUUCAUUUUCGUAUCUCACUGCUCUUCAGACCCUGGAACUUGAGCACAACAAUUUCACGGGUACCUUGGAUCUAAACACAUUCUUGAGGCUAAGGAACCUCAGUGAGAUAUCAGCCUCCUAUAACCCAUUGUUAUCUGCCUCAGGGGAUGGUAAUGAAGUCGAAGCUUAUAGUAAUAGCAGUCUUUCUAGCCUGGACCUAGCAUGUUGUAACCUAACAAGGUUGCCCCUUGUGGUUAAAUAUCUACCUGAACUACAAUAUUUGGAUCUCUCUUCCAAUCAAAUUCAUGGUGAAAUACCUGACUGGAUUUGGAGAAACAUGAGCUCCUUGAACCUCUCUCACAACCACUUCACCACCGUGGGUCAGCCCCAACACUAUGUUACUAUAAGGUUAUCCAUCGAUCUUAGCUUCAAUAUGCUCGGUGGCGCUGUGCCUUUCCCUUUAGGUGCGUCCGAUCUUGACUUCUCAAACAACAAAUUCUCGUCCAUCCCUCCAAGCAAUUUCCUCCAACAGUUUGAGGUCGCCCUGUCUAUCAACCUUGCGAACAAUGAACUGAGUGGGGCUAUCCCCUACUCAGAAUGUCAGUCGGGCUAUCGUGCUCUCCAAAUACUCAACCUAUCCGGCAAUAAUUUCAGUGGGUUGGUGCCACCUUAUUUGCUCAAAGGUUGCCAUGAACUCGCUGUGUUGAACUUGAGGGGAAAUCGCCUUAACGGAACAUGGCCUGACGAUAUCGAUGAAUCAUGUAACCUGAGGCUGAUAGACUUACAUGGAAACCACAUCCAGGGGCGCCUGCCGAGAUCAUUGGCUCGGUGCCAGUACUUGCUAGCUCUUGACAUUGGAGGGAACCGUUUCGUGGACUCUUUUCCUGUAUGGUUAGGUCAGCUACAGGAGCUCCAGAUACUUGUGUUGAGAUACAACAAUUUUCAUGGCCCACUGAGCAUCCCUUCUCUUGUGCGGAACAAUUCGACUGCCCGUUUCUUCUCCCGUGUACAAAUCAUUGAUCUUGCAGGAAACGGCUUCAGUGGUGAUCUACCACCAGAUUUCUUCAAGAGUUUCAAUUCCAUGGUUUGGGACCCAAAGGGAGUUGCAGAAUAUGAUAAUAUAGUUCUUGUGGAAGAUGGAAGAUCGAUUUAUCAGGUGGCGGUUGAUGUGGCCAUGAAACAACAAUACAUGAGGGUGGCAAAUGUCCGUACUGAGCUGGUGGUGAUUGAUCUGUCGAGCAAUCAGUUCAGCGGCUUCAUCCCAAGAUCAAUCGGAAACCUCACAUUACUGCAUGUGGUAAACUUGUCACGCAAUGCCUUCAGUGGCAAGAUCCCACGCGAGCUCGGUCAGUUGGCCCGGAUGGAGUCACUGGACCUCUCAUGGAAUCAUCUCACGGGGAAGAUUCCGCAGGAGCUGGCCACGUUGACGACCCUAGAGUGGCUCAACGUCUCCUACAAUGAUCUCAGUGGGAGGAUACCUUCAGGCAGUCAGUUUUCCACAUUCACCAGUAGCUCGUUCCAGGGCGGAAACAGAGGGUUGUACGGAUGCCCACUUCUUGUGAAAUGUAACCUUACAUUCGUGCCUUCGCCAUCUUCGUUGCUCCCGACUCCCGUGCCAGAAGGAUCACUAUUUGAUGAUAUCGUGUUGUGGCUUUUCGUAGGUGUAGGCUUCGGAGUCGGAUUUGCGCUGACAAUUGUAUUGCAGGUUGUUUGCAGUGGUCGUCGCAAGAAAAUAGCACGCAGCUAG
rnacentral:rRNA from 1 species